UCAGAUGCACACAGACACCAGGACUGACGAGGAAGAAAUGAGCAGCUUAUUCUCUCCCAGUGUUUCCUCCACACAUGAAGGUGCAAAGUGUCUGUAAGUCGACCUGAAGUGAGUUCAGCAGAAACAUAUGUUCCAUUGUGCCAGCAUUUUCACAAGACAAACC